rnacentral:rRNA from 1 species
AACGAACGUUAGCGGCGCGCUUAACACAUGCAAGUCGAGCGAGAAAGGGGCAACCCCGGUAAAGCGGCGCACGGGUGAGUAACACGUAGGUAAUUUACCCCCAGGUGGUGGAUAACCCUCCGAAAGGAGAGCUAAUACAGCAUGAGACCACGUCCUCGAAAGAGGAUGAGGUCAAAGCCGGCCUCUUCAUGAAAGCUGGCGCCAGGGGAUGAGCCUGCGGCCCAUCAGCUAGUUGGUAGGGGAAUGGCCUACCAAGGCGAAGACGGGUAGCUGGUCUGAGAGGAUAAUCAGCCAGACGGGAACUGAGACACGCUCCAGCGACCGACGGGAGGCAGCAGUGGGGAAUCUUGCGCAAGGGGCGAAAGCCUGACGCAGCGACGCCGCGUGAGUGAUGAAGGCCUUCGGGUUGUAAAUCUUUGUGGAGAGGGACGAAUAACCCAUGGCCAACACCCAUGGUGAUGCCGGUCCCUCUUUAGCAAGCACCGGCUAACUCUGUGCCAGCCGCCGCAGUAAAAC